AGCAGCCGCGGUAAUUCCAGCUCCAAUAGCGUAUAUUAAAGUUGUUGCAGUUAAAAAGCUCGUAGUUGAAUUUCGGGAUCAAUUAAUUGGUCGUGCCUCUGGUACGUACUGAUUUUAUUGGUUUCUCCCUUCUGACGAACCAUGAUGUCAUUAAUUUGGUGUCGUGGAGAAUCAGGACUGUUACUUUGAAAAAAUUAGAGUGUUUAAAGCAAGCUAACGCUUGAAUACAUUAGCAUGGAAUAAUGAAAUAGGACGUUUGAUCCUAUUUUGUUGGUUUCUAGGAUCGACGUAAUGAUUAAUAGGGAUAGUUGGGGGCAUUAGUAUUCAAUUGUCAGAGGUGAAAUUCUUGGAUUUAUUGAAGACUAACUACUGCGAAAGCAUUUGCCAAGGAUGUUUUCAUUAAUCAAGAACGAAAGUUAGGGGAUCGAAGACGAUCAGAUACCGUCGUAGUCUUAACCAUAAACUAUGCCGACUAGAGAUCGGAUGAUGUUAAUUUUUUAAUGACUCGUUCGGCGCCUUA
rnacentral:rRNA from 1 species